AACGCUGGCGGCGUGCCUAAUACAUGCAAGUCGAGCGAACAGACGAGGAGCUUGCUCCUCUGACGUUAGCGGCGGACGGGUGAGUAACACGUGGAUAACCUACCUAUAAGACUGGGAUAACUUCGGGAAACCGGAGCUAAUACCGGAUAAUAUAUUGAACCGCAUGGUUCAAUAGUGAAAGACGGUUUUGCUGUCACUUAUAGAUGGAUCCGCGCCGCAUUAGCUAGUUGGUAAGGUAACGGCUUACCAAGGCAACGAUGCGUAGCCGACCUGAGAGGGUGAUCGGCCACACUGGAACUGAGACACGGUCCAGACUCCUACGGGAGGCAGCAGUAGGGAAUCUUCCGCAAUGGGCGAAAGCCUGACGGAGCAACGCCGCGUGAGUGAUGAAGGUCUUCGGAUCGUAAAACUCUGUUAUUAGGGAAGAACAAAUGUGUAAGUAACUAUGCACGUCUUGACGGUACCUAAUCAGAAAGCCACGGCUAACUACGUGCCAGCAGCCGCGGUAAUACGUAGGUGGCAAGCGUUAUCCGGAAUUAUUGGGCGUAAAGCGCGCGUAGGCGGUUUUUUAAGUCUGAUGUGAAAGCCCACGGCUCAACCGUGGAGGGUCAUUGGAAACUGGAAAACUUGAGUGCAGAAGAGGAAAGUGGAAUUCCAUGUGUAGCGGUGAAAUGCGCAGAGAUAUGGAGGAACACCAGUGGCGAAGGCGACUUUCUGGUCUGUAACUGACGCUGAUGUGCGAAAGCGUGGGGAUCAAACAGGAUUAGAUACCCUGGUAGUCCACGCCGUAAACGAUGAGUGCUAAGUGUUAGGGGGUUUCCGCCCCUUAGUGCUGCAGCUAACGCAUUAAGCACUCCGCCUGGGGAGUACGACCGCAA
rnacentral:rRNA from 1 species